rnacentral:rRNA from 1 species
GAUCAUGGCUCAGGAUGAACGCUAGCUACAGGCUUAACACAUGCAAGUCGAGGGGCAGCAUGAACUUAGCUUGCUAAGUUUGAUGGCGACCGGCGCACGGGUGAGUAACACGUAUCCAACCUUCCGUUUACUCAGGGAUAGCCUUUCGAAAGAAAGAUUAAUACCUGAUAGUAUGGUGAGAUUGCAUGAUAGCACCAUUAAAGAUUUAUUGGUAAACGAUGGGGAUGCGUUCCAUUAGGUAGUAGGCGGGGUAACGGCCCACCUAGCCGACGAUCAGUAGGGGUUCUGAGAGGAAGGUCCCCCACAUUGGAACUGAGACACGGUCCAAACUCCUACGGGAGGCAGCAGUGAGGAAUAUUGGUCAAUGGACGAGAGUCUGAACCAGCCAAGUAGCGUGCAGGAUGACGGCCCUAUGGGUUGUAAACUGCUUUUAUAAGGGAAUAAAGUGGGAGUCGUGACUCUUUUUGCAUGUACCUUAUGAAUAAGGACCGGCUAAUUCCGUG